UCUCCGUAGGUGAACCUUCGGAGGGAUCAUUACUGAGUGAGGGCUUCGGUCCGACCUCCAACCCUUUGUGAACCAAACUUGUUGCUUAGGGGGCGACUCUGCCGCUUCGGCGGUGCGGAGCCCCCGGAGGCCAUUAAACACUGCAUCAUUGCGUCGGAGUUAAAGUAAAUUAAACAAAACUUUCAACAACGGAUCUCUUGGUUCCAGCAUCGAUGAAGAACGCAGC
rnacentral:misc_RNA from 1 species